rfam:Stereum hirsutum FP-91666 SS1 unplaced genomic scaffold STEHIscaffold_1, whole genome shotgun sequence.
UCUCUUGUGCUCGGGCACGCACAUGCGGCAGUGAAGUCUCGACUGAGCCCAUGUCUUUUGCUGAUUGCAAAUUACACAUCCGAACCCGUCUAUUAGCUUUGGCUUUUAGCAAUUUUUCGACAACACCCAUACCGUGU